GGUGGUGGUCUGGGGGGUUGGAAGGGGCGGGAAGGGCGCUGUCUUAAGAAUCAUCCUCACAUCUCAGGGCUUCGCCCCUCGAGGGAGGUGACCCUUGGCCACCCUCUGCGCAGUUCUCCCUGAAAGGUCAUGCCACGUCUUAGCACUCUGGUCCCUGCGCCCCUGCAGGCCUCGCGGAUCCCCCACUUGUCUCGACGCAGGGGACGCCCACUUGUCUGACGCAGGGGACGUGGCUGAAGUCAGUCGGGCCGCCCGCUUGCUGCACGGCAGCCGUGGGACUGGCACAGGCUCCUCGGCAGCAUUAUGGGCAGCUGGUAGAGCGGCCACUUCUGAGAGCCGGAUGGGCCUUCCGAGGUCGGGCCGUGCCCCGCUGGGCAGCGCAGAGGGGGUGUGUAGGGCACGCGACUUGGAGCCAGGUCCAGACCCAUCCUGGCUCCUCUCAGGGCUCCUUCCCCUGCCCCCAUUCCACCCCAGCCCUGCUGGCUGUCCCGCAGGACCCAGCGCCGCGGUAGCCUUCUCUGAACUGCGGCUCAGGCGGAGGUGUCACUCCUGCCUCCAGCCCAGGAGGGCAGGUCAGGUUAUGCAACGCGUGCCGCGCGAUCUCCCCCCACCUCCAACCCCCUUUUCUCCCGGGUCCACACCGCAGUUCCCACCGCUCCGGGUGUCCUCCCCAGUGCGCCGCGAUUUUUGUGUCCAAGCCCCAGAGUCCCUCUGAGACCAACCCCCAGCCAGCACAGACUUCCUGCCUUCCCAGCUCGGAAGCGCCCUCGAGAAGUGUCUAAAGGAGACAGUUGAUAGCCAAACAACAGUUUUGGAUUCACUGACUGAUUAUGAAAGAAGCAGUAGACUGGUAUCAAGAAUCAGUCAGCAAGGAGGCCCUCACCAGACGCCAGUGCCAUGUUCUUGGACUUCUCAGCCUCCAUAUUCAUGAACUAAGUUUUUGGAAUCCUUAGGCUUCCACGUGUGGAAAGCCUGAGCUAACCUACUGGAGGAUGAGCCAUCACCUGGAGCAGAUUCAGGCCAUCCUAGUUGAAGCCUCCCUAGGCCAAGCAACCGUCCAACUACCAGACAUUGACCAUUCAGCCUUGAACAUUCAGCACAAAGACAAAACAGACCAGACCAGAAGAGUCCCACAGAAUAGGGGAAACUAUUCAGAGAAAACUUAAGCCACUAAGUUUUAUGGUGUUUUGUUCUGUAGCAGAAGCAUAGGCAUACUGACAAUACAAACCGAAAUCCUUCUAACGUAGUGGACCUUUUCAGGCCAGCAUUUUUUCCUUGAAAACCUGGAGCAUGUAUCCAUCUUAUAGCAGAGAUCACUUUCACAAUGUUUGGGCUCUUGAUUUGAAUUGAUGAUGUAAUGAGCCCUCUAUCCAGAUUGUAACUAAUUACUCUGCGAAUUGACUGGAUUCCACACCCUUCUAAUAUUUUACUUUUCCUCUUUUAUCAACUCUCAUUCUUGCUGCCAUGAUCAAUGGACCAACUAUGCUUAUAACCACAAAUUUUGAUAUGCUUAAACAAAUGAACAAAUAUAUUUAAUAAUUUCUUUUUUUUUUUUGAAAUAGUAUCUUGCUCUGUCACCCAGGCUGCAGUGCAGCAGCGUGAUCUCAGCUCACUAUAACCUCCACCUCCCGGGUUCAAGUGAUUCUCCUGCCUCAGCCUCCCAAGUAGCUGGGACUACAGGCGCCCACCACCAUACCUGGCUAAUUUUUUGUAUUUUUAGUAGAGACAGGGUUUAUCCAUGUUGGCCAGGCUGGUCUCAAACUCCUGACCUCAAGUGAUCCUCCUGCCUCGGCCUCCCAAAGUGCUGGGAUUACAGGUGUGAGCCACCAUGCCCAGCCAAUAAUUUCCUGAUAUAAUAAAAAUGCCAAUACUAUACAAUUAAAUAGUAAAGUGAUAAAAAAUAGGAUAACAUGAUAACCACUAAUUAAUAUAUACUACAUAAUCAUCCUUUUCGUGAGUUGAAAUGUUCUUUUAGCACACUUUAUGGUUUAUCCUUUCUGGAAUACUAUUAUAUGAUCAUGAUUUUUCUCACACUUGUUCCAGUGAAAUAUACUUUUAGGUGUUUCCUUUGUAUUGUUCAAACUGUAAUAUCUCCAGUGGAAGAUUUUUUAAGCUUGUUCUUGUCUUGUCAGUGUCACCCACAUAGUCAUAGUCUGAAAGCAUUUUGCUUUCUGGAAAUAAGAUAUUAUAGGCACCAAGUUAUGGAAUUAUCUACUUUUCACCAAGCCUUCAUUCUUUCAGUGCUGUAUUAGAGACCUCAUUUAGGGUUCUAAGGGUGCAUAUCAAAUUGUUCCAUGAGUCUAAAAUGGAUAAUUCUUCUGUGGGCCAUUUUUAGUGCUAGAGCUAGAAAAGUUAUACUUUUAAAAGGUAAAUAGCUCACAAUGAUUUUGC
ensembl:lncRNA LINC00941 long intergenic non-protein coding RNA 941